AUUGAACGCUGGCGGCAGGCCUAACACAUGCAAGUCGAGCGGAGCGGCGGACGGGUGAGUAAUGCCUAGGAAUCUGCCUGGUAGUGGGGGAUAACGUCCGGAAACGGGCGCUAAUACCGCAUCCUAUCAGAUGAGCCUAGGUCGGAUUAGCUAGUUGGUGGGGUAAAGGCCUACCAAGGCGACGAUCCGUAACUGGUCUGAGAGGAUGACCAGCCACACUGGAAAUGAGACACGGUCCAGACUCCUACGGGAGGCAGCAGUGGGGAAGAUUGCACAAGGGGGGCAAGCCUUAUGCAGCCAUGCCGCGUGUAUGAAGAAGGCCUUCGGGUUGUAAAGUACUUUCAGCGGGGAGGCGUUACCCGCAGAAGAAGCACCGGCUAACUCCGUGCCAGCAGCCGCGGUAAUUC
rnacentral:rRNA from 1 species